UACGGAGGGUGCGAGCCUUGUCCGGAAUCACUGGGCGUAAAGGGCGCGUAGGCGGUGGGGUAAGCGUGUGGUGAAAGUCCGGGGCUCAACCCCGGAUCGGCCGUGCGAACUGCUUCACUUGAGCACUGUAGAGGCAGGUGGAAUUCCGGGUGUAGCGGUGGAAUGCGUAGAGAUCCGGAAGAACACCGGUGGCGAAGGCGGCCUGCUGGGCAGUGGCUGACGCUGAGGCGCGACAGCGUGGGGAGCAAACAGG
rnacentral:rRNA from 1 species